UACGUAGGGUGCAAGCGUUGUCCGGAAUUAUUGGGCGUAAAGAGCUCGUAGGCGGUUUGUCGCGUCUGCUGUGAAAACUGGGGGCUCAACCCCCAGCCUGCAGUGGGUACGGGCAGACUAGAGUGCGGUAGGGGAGAUUGGAAUUCCUGGUGUAGCGGUGGAAUGCGCAGAUAUCAGGAGGAACACCAAUGGCGAAGGCAGAUCUCUGGGCCACUACUGACGCUGAGAAGCGAAAGCAUGGGGAGCGAACAGG
rnacentral:rRNA from 1 species